UCUUCCCGGCUCCAACCCACCCCCAAAGAAAACCCAAACAACUUCUCUUCCUUAGCCUCCUCUUCCUCCUCCUCCGGCUCCUCCUCUGGGGGUCUCCUUCCAACCUCCCACACUAAGACCUUGGGUUGCGGUGCCCUCCCUUUCAUCCCAGACGGCCUAGAUGUCACCAAAGCCAAAUUAUGCUCUGACCUGGCCCUUCUCUCCUCCAGACAGCUCCUGUCUUGCUGCACCUCAUCAGGUAUUCACCAAGUCUCCCAGCUUCCCAACCAUCCUCGAUGCUCUAACAGCUCAGGAGGAGGAGUGAGAGCAGAGGCCCCCAGCCCUGUUUACCUAAAGAGAGAAGCCAAGACCCAUGACCCCGUCGCCUGGGGGCCCGGAUUCAAAACAGAACCCAGGUCCAGAGCCCAAGGCUUGGCCUCCUGGUUUCUGGGCUGCAUCACACAGGAGCAGUCCGGAGGCGCCGCUCUGGGGAGGCCUGUUUACUCGGCUGGGUGAGAGAUGUUUGCACAGGGAGGGAGGUGGCAGCGCCAUCUGGCUGGCCUCUGGCUGCCGGCUCUGCGGGGGAGGCAGUCCCGUGGCAGCAGAACUUUAGAGAAGGUCCUCUCUUUUUUGAGCGCGAAUACGGAGAAUUUGGGGGGAAUUCUCCAAACACGCUAUUUCCUCCCUUUAUUUCAUAUCCACACCAAGUAACUCAUCUAGGAGUUUCCCCCCUGUUUUGUUGUGCACAGUGGGGAGAAGCGUAGUUCUCAGCCCUCAAGGCAUGGUGGUGUCUAGCACAGGAAGCUACUCUGCAGUUUAUAAAGCGUUGUCACUUCCACCACUUCAUGGGACCCUCAGAACAGAUGAGGAGUGACCCAGGGCGGAUCGAGUCACCUGCACGAAACGACACGCCCAAUAAGAGGCAGAGGCCAAGUGACUGCAGUGUAUGAUUUUUCUGUGCUGUCCCCUGCCUCCCACUUGGCCGUAAAGCAGGUGUGCAAAGCUUGUUCCAACACACAGCAGCCUUCCAGGUGGCUCCUGGGAGGAAGCCUUGUGUCUCAGGGACACCGAGGGAAGCACAGGCGGUGUGAACUGCAGGGCCCUGUGCCCAGACCAUGGGGUCAGUCCACAGGUACCACCAGCAGGGCAUUCCCUGGGUACCAGAUGGAGCCAUAUGUGGAUCAACCUGUGAAACCACAUGUAACAGACACCCUCUUCCACGACCAGUGAAAUCAUGGAGGUGAGGGAACGUGUUGCAGAGCCACUGAAGCUUUCCUUCCAAGUUCAUUGGUCCCUGCCUCCUCCUGAGCUCAACUCCCUGCAUUCAAAGCAUGUCAGCUCAGGAGUUCCCAUCAUGGUGCAACAGAAACGAAUCCACCUAAGA
rnacentral:lncRNA from 1 species